CCUCCUUCCCUCCCUCCCUCCCUCCCUCCCUCCGCCGGAAGGUAAUCUCCACCCGCGGUACGGGGAGAGGCGGGCGGGGGGGGACACCCCUCGCCGCCCCCCGCCGACUGGCCCUCCGCCCGGCUCCCUCGGCGCUGCACAAGUCGAUAGGAGCGGGGAGAAGUGAAGAUGUAACAUCUUAUCUCCUCCCCCCGCCCCGUCGCGGGUGGGGGAUUUACAGGCAGCGAUAAGCCGGCAGGGAGACAGGAUCUGCUUUUUGUUGUGCGUGGGGCAGCCGCGGCCUGGGCGAUGCCCCCCGCCCCGGGCCGCGCUGAGGGGAGCGGGGGAGAGGGUCUCUCGCCGCGGAAGGGGAGGAGGUGGCCCGAGAACAAUAGGAGCCUAAGGACUUCUGAUUGUGCUGUUUGCAUGCUCCCCAUGUUCACCAAUGGCAGCAUCUCAACCCGGUCUUGAUGCUUAAGUUCCAGAGCACCUGCUAGACCUUCUCCCAGUCUGAAGAUUGCAAAGGAAACAAAGAACAACUUUAAAAUAAAUAAAUGCACGUUGAGUUUCUCCCCCCUCAGCAUGUUCUAUCAGCAAUGCUCAGGGAAUUCAAUGCAGUGAGACUAUAGCGGAAUGAUACAUAUACACAUUUUUUUGCUUAGAAUUUUUUCCUUAGCACUGUAAAAAGAAACGUCUGUGCAAUGUGUGCAUGUGUAUGCAUAAUUGUGUAUAUUAAUUUAUAUGAUUGCAUAUCAGUGCGUAUAUAAAGAAGACCCAGUGGCUGCAGAACAUACAACAUGUCUUAUUAUUUCAAAGGCUUUCAGAUCUUCUUUAAAAUCUAACUGACUGUAGAAUGAAACCCAUCAGGGUUAGGCAGAGAUAGAGAUUGAAAUUAAUUUAAAGCAGACAAAGAGCUAAUAUGAAGGAGCCACUAGUGAUUUAACUCAUUUUUAAAAGUAAGUGUAAUGAAAAUAUAAAAUGUAUUCUGAGUGUGCCAUCUACUCAGCAAUUGUUGCCAUCAAGUGGACUGCUGAUGCCCUUUAAGAUGGUAAAAAGAAAACUAGUCCUUUAUACCAUUUUCAUGAAAAUGUUAGGUUUCUGUUUGAUCAGCAGGUGCUGUUGAGAUGAAAGCCAUGUGUAAAUUUUCAGAAGGCCAAAAGUGUCAAUUCAGAAAAGGAAAGUGAUAAGAGAAAAUGCAAUCAGUUUUCCUGUUUUCAAUUUGUGCAGGAUUUGAAGAGCUGUUUUGUUAAACUGCUACAUCUGCUCCAAUAUGAAUAUUGAACUACUUCCACUAAAAAUAACACCCUAUAAUUUGGAAGCCAUUGCAAUCUUUUGUUAAUGCAAGUGGGUUAUUUAAAAAAAAAAAAAAACUAUUCUGAAAAAUCUCCUGCCUAAUGUGCAUUUUUGUUUAUCGGCACUUUUAUCUUCAGCAGAUAAAAUGGCAUUAUGCAAUUAGGACCAUAUCUAUUUGGACUGUAAAAAUGGCACUGGGUAGCUGAAUGUCACUAUAUUGGUUAGAUGGUGUAGCUUGUAGAUUUAAAAUAAUUUUAUUAAUAAACUGUGAUUGUAUCUUAAAA